UAAAUGUGUUGCUUUUUACGUCCGGAAAAUUUCUAUAAAAGAAUAUUGUUGAAAUCCUUGUAAAAAUUAGUUAAUGUGAAAAUAAAUCUAUUACAGAGAAUCGAGUAAAGAUGACCAUGUAUGUGUGUCAUUGUCGGCUUUGUAGCCUACUCGGCGUUAUGGUGGGGUUCCGCACUAGCUCAGGAGGGAGCGGUUAAUCCAGGGGGUUCUCAACCCUGCCACCAUCAACCCUAGGGAAUGAACACUUAAAGAAUUGUACUGGAAUAAACACAAACACAGAAAAUCUGAAAACAAACAUACACAACAUACACCUAUGACACAGGAGCUUGAUAUUAUUGCUCCCCCACUAUGCCCACCCAUCCUUGACCCUUUAGUCCAAAUACACUCAAAAAAAAUUAAAAAGGGCCCCAAAAAGCCACACACACUCACAUACAACGCCUAACCUCCUCUCUCACAAAUAAAAUUUAGCACAACAUAUUAUUUCUUUAGACAAUUAGACAUUAAGCUUAUUUAUUAGAAUCAUUAUCGUUCUCUUAAAACUAAUUUCAACACGAACACAUAAAAAAACUGGAUUAUUAACACCCGAACGAAAAACAAAAAUUGUGAGUCAAUACUCAGAUUACCUUUUUUAUUACCCUGCUAGAAGCGCCAAUUUUGGCCAAUACAAGUACUUUAAAUUUCUGCCUAAAGGAGCUCACUUAGACAAAUCUUUUGGGCAUUUCAAAUCCUUGUCCCAAACAGCAAAAUCAAAAUUUUCUAGCUGUAAAAUUCUGAGGCAACCCUACACUCACUAACAAUAAGAUUUAAUGGGCAUUAAUUUUCCUCACAUUUGUAUCUUAAGCACUAUUUAUCUAACUACAAACACUACGUUUAACUUAUAUACUAAACUACACACUAACAAACAAAUAUUUUUUUAUAGCUUCUUUUUUUUUCUUUUGGUCAAAUUCGGAUUAAUUGAUGAAUUUCAUAUUUUUUUCUUUUUUCACUGGUGUUUCCGUCAAAGGAAAAGGAGCUUCAUGUGACUUUUUUCAGCGGGAUUUGGCUUUCUUUCUUUUCUUUGAUUUUUAGGUGGGAUCUACUGGUUAGCUUCCCGGAUUGGUACUGUUGCCUGUUCCAAGGGUUAUCCACUGGCAGUUUCCCAGGUCUUUUGGCCGUUUCCAGAACCUUUUCGUUGCCUGGAACCCCUGUGCCGCACCUGGCGAUACAAAAAUAAUUGUUGGGGAUGCCCGCUUCUUUGUCGUCCCAGUCGGAUGGCGUUGUCCAAUUGUGGAUUUAUGCGCGGCGUUAUUCCUAAAUAGAACACAAAACUUAACACAACACAUCCGACAUAACAUCACUUACAAAUCAACACUUACAAAUUGUUUAGAUACGCCACACAAAUAAAACAAUAAAACACACAAAUUGUAACUGCCAA